AGGUGUGCCAUCUCCACAGAGAACCCAUCUUCACUCCCUUUAGGCAAUUCCCUCCCACCAGCUCCUGCAUCCAGGCUCCUGCCCUGACUUUCCUUCAUGAUGAACUACAAGCUGUGGGGUCUAGACUGUGGGGACAACAGGCUGGGAGCCAGGAAUGGACCUCAAGCCUACGAGAGCGUCCAAGCUGCUUUACUAAUGCCUUUGAACCUUCUGAUGAUUGGAACAGAGUUGAAAUUUAUUAGAAAAUAGAAAAACAGCUUUGGUACAACACUACCAGUCAUCAUGUACGUCCCUGAAUAACAAUGUUCAUCUCUAGGUCAUGCCUCCAGAUGUGUAAUUGAAGAUACUAACUGG